rnacentral:misc_RNA from 1 species
CAUGUUCCUGGCUUUAAGAAGCUACAACAGGAAGCAUCACGCAGAGAGGCUGCUGCAGCUAAGAGGAUGCAGGAGCUUAUGCGCCAGUUUGGCACAAUAUUGCGCCAGAUCACUCAGCACAAAUGGGCUUGGCCUUUUAUGCAGCCCGUUGAUGUUAAGGGACUUGGGUUGCAUGACUACUAUGAGAUUAUUGACAGACCCAUGGACUUUAGUACAAUAAAGAACCAAAUGGAGGCCACGGAUGGCACUGGGUAUAAGCAUGUCAGAGAGAUCAG